UGCGUAGGCGGUUCGGUAAGUCUUGUGUGAAAUCUUCGGGCUCAACUCGAAGUCUGCACGAGAAACUGCCGGGCUUGAGUGUGGGAGAGGUGAGUGGAAUUUCCGGUGUAGCGGUGAAAUGCGUAGAUAUCGGAAGGAACACCUGUGGCGAAAGCGGCUCACUGGACCACAACUGACGCUGAGGCACGAAAGCUAGGGGAGCAAACAGGAUUAGAUACCCUGGUAGUCCUAGCCCUAAACGAUGAUCGCUUGGUGUGACGGGUACCCAAUCCCGCCGUGCCGAAGCUAACGCGUUAAGCGAUCCGCCUGGGGAGUACGGUCGCAAGGCUAGAA
rnacentral:rRNA from 1 species